CUUGAACGUGUAGAAAGCCAUAUAAUGCAAUCCUUUGCAGAGCAGAGGAAGAGAAGGUGAUUUGGCAAAUCUGCUACUUCACAGUGUGUUCUGAAGUAUUGCCGUAAAAAAGUGAUGCUUGCAGGAUUACAUGAAAACUUCUCAUGGAAAAGCAAAUUUUCUUCAUAGCGUAGUAAAAGUAACAGUUUAUUUGCGCACUGUAUUUUUGGCUAAAGCAGCUUUCAUGAAGUUCACUUCUUGAUUGCCGCUAACGCG